AUUGAACGCUGGCGGCAUGCCUUACACAUGCAAGUCGAACGGUAACGGGCCUUCGGGUGCCGACGAGUGGCGAACGGGUGAGUAAUGUAUCGGAACGUACCUUUCAGUGGGGGAUAACGUAGCGAAAGUUACGCUAAUACCGCAUAUUCUGUGAGCAGGAAAGCAGGGGAUCGCAAGACCUUGCGCUGAUUGAGCGGCCGAUAUCAGAUUAGCUAGUUGGUGGGGUAAAGGCUCACCAAGGCGACGAUCUGUAGCGGGUCUGAGAGGAUGAUCCGCCACACUGGAAGUUAGACACGGUCCAGACUCCUACGGGAGGCAGCAGUGGGGAAUUUUGGACAAGGGGGGCAAGCCUGAUCCAGCCAUGCCGCGUGAGUGAAGAAGGCCUUCGGGUUGUAAAGCUCUUUCGGCCGGGAAGAAAUCGUAUCAGCUAAUACCUGGUGCGGAUGACGGUACCGGCAUAAGAAGCACCGGCUAACUACGUGCCAGCCGCCGCAGUAACAC
rnacentral:rRNA from 1 species